rnacentral:rRNA from 1 species
AGCGAACGCUGGCGGCAGGCUUAACACAUGCAAGUCGAGCGGGGCAGUAGCGAAUAUGUCAGCGGCAGACGGGUGAGUAACGCGUGGGAACGUACCUUUUGGUUCGGAACAACACAGGGAAACUUGUGCUAAUACCGGAUAAGCCCUUACGGGGAAAGAUUUAUCGCCGAAAGAUCGGCCCGCGUCUGAUUAGCUAGUUGGUGAGGUAAUGGCUCACCAAGGCGACGAUCAGUAGCUGGUCUGAGAGGAUGAUCAGCCACAUUGGGACUGAGACACGGCCCAA